rfam:Myotis davidii contig318121, whole genome shotgun sequence.
GAUGGUUCUCGGGUGACACACCCUGGAAUUGGGCUCCCUCCUUUUUGGUUCCAGUUGUGUCACCUGAGAACCCCA